rnacentral:rRNA from 1 species
GACGAACGCUGGCGGCGUGCCUAAUACAUGCAAGUCGAGCGAAGUUUUUCUGGUGCUUGCACUAGAAACACUUAGCGGCGACCGGGUGAGUAACACGUAAAGAACCUGCCUCAUAGACUGGGACCACUAUUGGAAACGAUAGCUAAUACCGGAUAACAGUAUUUCUCGCAUGAGAGAUAUUUAAAAGUUGGUUAUGCUAACACUAUGAGAUGGCUUUGCGGUGCAUUAGCUAGUUGGUGGGGUAAAGGCCCACCAAGGCGACGAUGCAUAGCCGACCUGAGAGGGUGGACCGCCACACUGGGACUGAGAGACGGCCCAGACUCCUACGGGAGGCAGCAGUAGGGAAUCCUACGGGAAGGGGGAAAGCCUGACGGAGCAACGCCGCGGGAGGGAAGAAGGAGUUCGGUUCGGAAAGCGCAGUUGUUAGGGAAGAAGGGAUAUGCUGUAACCAUACAUGUAAGAGACGGUACCUAACCAGAAAGCCACGGCUAACUACGUG